UGGAGAGGAAUCAUAGGGACACCACAGAUUGCAGCCGUGUGGAAGAUGACCCCUAUAUGCAUUCUCUAGUGUAUUUGGAAUGAAAGAAACGAGAGACUUUUUGAGGAUCAUGAAUGCUCUUUGGAAGAGUUUAGGAGUUUUUUCUAGAAGACUUUGUUUUUGUGGGCCAUUGCUCUUGAUUUGAAUGGUCUAAGCUUCCAUGAUUUCCUUGUAACUGUUUCUAGUUCUUAAAUAGGUGUAUUCACAUGUAUAAUUCCAGUGCACCUGGGCUAUGCCUACCUUUAUAUCAAUAAAAUAACUUAUUACUUAUCAAAAAGAAAUGUUUGAGAAUAUUCUGAUUCU